GGGAACCGGGGAAAAUGGCGUGCCAUCGUGCCGGGAACUCUCGUUCGCGCAGGUCCCAGGUGACGCGGGGAGAGACCUCUCGGGUAUGCGGCAGCGGCUUCUCUCGCCUUCGGAUUAAUUAAUCGCCCGUCGCAAAAAACGUCGUGGAUUCCGCCCAACGCGAUAUAAAUAUCGAAGGUGCCGAAGCGCCGCGUUCUUUUUUCCCACCUUCCUCCCGCCCCUCCACUCAUCGCUCGGUUCGUCCGUACGUAGGGAGUACACUUUCUACACCCGGCCGUCCGUGCGCGCAUUCUCCUUUUGUAUCGUCCUUGCGCCGAGAAGAGAAGCCACGCGGAACACCGACGACUGUUUCCCCCCUCGAGUAUAAAAAGUGCAGCGGCGACUAACCAACGCUUACGUCGACGUGUUAUCGAUCCGGCGUGUUUAUCUCCCGGCGUGACCUGAAAAACGAGCGAACGAGCGCGCGAAAGAGAGGCGGUAAUUAAAAAUAGGCUUCGUCUCCGCCAAGGUUACCGCGCCACCACGCUUCUCUCCGUCGGCGUUGUUCGCUCAUCGCCCUUUUCGAACGGAAUCGAUCGCGAGUCAAAUCAAUUCUCGCCUCCCGCGGAUUAUCACGCGGCCCAUGCAGAUGGCGGCCGCGCGCGUGUGCACCAAUGUCCGCGGGAGAAAUGUCCCUAGGCCGAGUGCGGCAGGGAGGGGGGCGCUCUAACCCUAGGCGCGCGCGCGCGGCAGCCAUGUUUCGAGAGCGCAUUUACUACCGAUCGUCGCCACGUCAAGAAUCAGUGGUGGUCCACGGGAAUAUUCUCGCUUGCAAUUACCGCUUCGCGGCGAACGAGCGAUAGCCCGGUGUAGCGACAAUCGAAGCGGAGUCGUCGCGAUAUCCACGCUCGGCUCCAAUCGCCGCGGUUCUACGGCGAUCGGAAGGCGACACUGUACUUCGCGUUGCACGGUCGCGCCGUGAUGCGCUCGUCGUAGCCACAGCCAACUUCAGAGGCGUGUCAUGGUUGCGAUCAGCAGCGCGGCGUUGUUCCUGCUAGCGUUCCCCCACAGCCGCUAUUCGUCAUCGAAUUUCUAUGAAAGAUGCUCUCGUUAGGGCCGAAAAAGGACGGCGGUCCCAACGCAAAGUUCUUCGAGUCACCGGACAUCCUUGCCCAGCUCGACGGUGUGAAACAGUGGCUGCUGAAGAACUGCAAGAAGUAUGUGCAAACGGAUCCUCCCAACAACAAGAGUCUAGCCACGUUGUUGGUGCAGCUGCUCCAGUUCCAGGAGGACAGUUUGGGGAAAAAUGUUGCCAAGCCGCCUAUGACUAGACUUCCUAUGAAAUGUUUCCUGGACUUUAAGCCUGGCGGAGGAUUGUGUCACAUACUAGCUACUGCAUAUCGCUUCAAGCACGAACAAGGAUGGCGACGAUUCGAUUUUCCCGGUGGAAAAUCCGGUUCACGCACAGACCGCACGGUGGAUAUGCUAACGGCGGCGGAGCGUGCUUUAAUACAGAAUAGAUGUAUGAACGUGCCGGCUAUUUACGUAAGACCGGAAGUCGACAAAACUACAGCUGUGAAAGUGAAGGAGGCAGUUAGGAGGCACCAGGGGACCGUCGUGGAAAACGAAGCGGAUGCCACGCAUAUCAUCUAUCCUCCGGUUGAUCCGAUGGAAGAAGAAUAUGCACGACCCUGUAUGAAACGCGAACGAUCGAUUCUACUUCAUUGGUACUACUUUCCGGAUAGUUACGACUCGUGGACGACGCUCGAUUUGCCUUGGGAUUAUCCCGAAGGAACUCUUAUGAAUACAAAUUCAAGAUCCGUGUACAAAGUAUCAGCUACGUGGGCAUUAGAUCUGGAUCAAUAUAACGAGUGGAUGAACGAAGAGGAUUACGAGGUAGACGACAACGGUCAGAAGAGAGUGCACAAGUACAGGCUUUCUGUGGAAGAUUUGAUGGCGCAACCGACCCAUCCACCGCCCGCAAAGAAGCCCAAGAGGAAGCGAUCUCCUAGUCCACCUCCAAAGCUCGGGAAACGCAAAAGUAGUAGAGCACCGUCAGGUAUCCAAAGCGCCUCCUCUGCCUCAUCGGCGGCGGCCCCGAAGAAAUCACGCGGGGGCGAGGAAGAAGAAGAUCUGACCCAAGGAAUGGAGGACCCACCCGCUGAGCCUCGCAUCGUGGAGGUCGUCGCUACCCCGACGAACCCGCCAAUCACUGGCCAAAGCAACGCAACGACGGGCAAUUCCACUUUGGCGUCCGCGGGCAGUAAAAAGCAAGACAGCGAACUUCAGCCACUCAAAUCGGGUAACAUGGCCGAUCUCGAUGAGCCGAUCGAAGGUGACAAAGGGAGCUCUCAAGGCGGCCAAGACAGGGAAGAGAGGGACACCAGUAAAGAAAGGGGUGAAGGUGGCAAGAGCGACGAGCCUGAAGACAACGUGACGGAACAGACGCAUCACAUCGUGGUGCCGAGUUACUCCGCCUGGUUCGACUACAACUCGAUCCAUACCAUCGAGAAGAGAGCUCUGUCGGAGUUCUUCAACGGCAAAAACAAGUCCAAGACCCCGGAGAUUUAUCUUGCGUACAGGAAUUUCAUGAUCGACACUUAUCGGCUAAAUCCGACGGAGUAUAUCACGUCGACCGCUUGCAGGCGGAACUUAGCCGGAGACGUUUGCGCGAUCAUGCGUGUGCACGCGUUCCUGGAACAGUGGGGUCUCAUCAAUUACCAAGUGGACGCAGAGUCCAGACCGACGCCCAUGGGGCCUCCUCCGACGUCGCACUUCCACGUUCUCUCGGACACACCGUCCGGUUUGGCGCCGGUGAAUCCGAAUCCGCCGAAAACGCCGCAGCCGUCCGCCGCGAAGACGCUCCUCGACCUGGAGAAGAAGCCUACCGUGCCGCCCGCUGUCGGCACGGAGGAGAAGGUCUCAGCAGGCGCGAUGGCGAACUUCGGCCUGAAGAUCGACCAGUACUCCCGAAAACCGGCGGUGCUGAAGAACAAGCAAGCGGCGGGCGCCACUCGCGACUGGACGGAGCAGGAGACGCUCUUGCUGCUGGAGGGAUUGGAAUUGCACAAGGACGAUUGGAACAAAGUGUGCGAGCACGUAGGCUCGAGAACGCAGGACGAAUGUAUCCUGCACUUCCUGCGUCUGCCCAUAGAAGACCCGUACUUGGAGGAAGGCGGCCCCGAAGGUUUGGGCCCGUUGGCUUAUCAGCCUGUACCAUUCUCUAAGGCUGGAAACCCCGUCAUGAGUACGGUUGCUUUCCUGGCGUCGGUCGUCGAUCCCAGGGUAGCCGCGAGUGCCGCGAAGGCUGCCAUGGAGGAGUUCGCAGCGAUAAAGGAUCAAGUGCCGGCUGCGUUGUUGGAUCAGCAUUUAAGAAACGUUCAGGCCAGCGCCAAUUCGGACGGUAAAUUUGAUCCAGCGGCGGGUUUAGCUCAAUCAGGUAUCGCUGGCACAGGGCCGCCCGAACCACCGGACGAUACGACGGCGUCUUCCACUACACCCUCGGUACCGUCGGGCGCGGCUAAUUCACCGCACUCGACGGCGCCGGUUUCCGAGGUGAAGAAGGACGAUCAGGAGAAGUCGAAGGAUGCGACGGACGUCGAGCAAUCUCAAAUGGACAUCUCGAAGAAGGAGGACGACUCGAAGGAGAGCGAAGAGGAUGCCAAGUCCGCCGCUGAUCCCGAGGCCAUCGAGGCGAAGGAGAAGAAGGACAAGGUUGUGAGGGACGCCCAAUUACAGUCCGCGGCAGCGGCGGCCUUGGCCGCCGCAGCCGUCAAGGCGAAGCACCUGGCAGCGGUGGAGGAGAGGAAGAUCAAGUCGCUGGUCGCGCUGCUGGUCGAGACGCAGAUGAAGAAACUCGAGAUCAAGUUGCGCCAUUUCGAGGAGCUGGAGACGACGAUGGAGCGGGAGCGCGAGGGCCUCGAGUAUCAGCGUCAGCAGCUCAUCACCGAGAGGCAGCAGUUCCACCUGGAGCAGUUGAAGGCGGCGGAGUUCAGGGCGCGCCAACAGGCGCACCAGCGACUAGCUCAGGAGCAACAGCAGCAACAGCAGCAGCAGCAACAGCAGAAUCAACAUCCGCCCUGGCAGCCGGCCGCGCAACAGCAGCAGCAACAGCCGCCGAGUCCGCAGGCGCAACAACCAUCGUCGCACACGCCGCCGCAGCAGACAUAACUCUCUUGAAUCUCUUCUGCGUAUCCGGCUACGCGGAUCCAGGUGAACGACUUCGCCGAACUAAAAACCUUUCCAAUGAGAAUCAAGGAUGGAGGAGGAACCUUUCGAGAAAAUCAGAGAGAAGAGAUCGCGAGAACAAAGUAACCAUCGGGCAAGAACGUGAGCUUAGACACCGUAGAUCGUACGCGACUUCUCUUACAAGGAAGG